rnacentral:rRNA from 1 species
CCUACGGGUGGCAGCAGUGGGGAAUAUUGCACAAUGGGGGAAACCCUGAUGCAGCGACGCCGCGUGAGUGAAGAAGUAUUUCGGUAUGUAAAGCUCUAUCAGCAGGGAAGAAAAUGACGGUACCUGACUAAGAAGCCCCGGCUAACUACGUGCCAGCAGCCGCGGUAAUACGUAGGGGGCAAGCGUUAUCCGGAUUUACUGGGUGUAAAGGGAGCGUAGGUGGCAUGGUAAGCCAGAAGUGAAAACCCGGGGCUCAACCCCGCGGAUUGCUUUUGGAACUAUCAGGCUGGAGUGCUGGAGGGGUAAGCGGAAUUCCUAGUGUAGCGGUGAAAUGCGUAGAUAUUAGGAGGAACACCGGUGGCGAAGGCGACUAUCUGGCACAUAACUGACGCUGAGGAGCGAAAGCGUGGGUAGCAAACAGGAUUAGAUACCCGGGUAGUC